AAGAGCUUGCGGUGGCUGGGGCUGCGCUGGGGGUGCCGAAAGGUGGCCGUGUGGUGGCUGUGGAAGAAAAAAAGGCAGAAGCCACAGCUGGCCCCUGGGAACCGAAAAUGGUAGAAUGCCAGGCAUGCAUCAGAGGACCAGCUGAGACCUUUGCAAUCCUGAAAGACUUAAGUGAAGAUGACUACUUGGUUCACAUUGGCUAAAAGAGCCCUUUAAGUCUUCUGUCUUCAGGUCUAGCUUUUGCCUGCUGCGAGGAGUCUUCCUGUUCUGCUACUGGCAGGUUGGACCAGAGGCUCAGGAGCUCUCUGAAGCUCCAGUAACAGGCGCCACCUCCAGCAGCUGAGAAAGC
ensembl:lincRNA Gm12111 predicted gene 12111